GUCCAGGCCAUAUUUGGGUCAGGUUCUGGUCAGGUUCAGGUCACGUCCAGGCCAUGUUUGGGUCAGGUUCAGGUCACGUCCAGGCCAUGUUUGGGUCAGGUUCUGGUCAGGUUCAGGUCACGUCAGGCCAUGUUUGGGUCAGGUUCAGGUCACGUCCAGGCCAUGUUUGGGUCAGGUUCUGGUCAGGUUCAGGUCAUAUCAGGCCAUAUUUGGGUCAGGUUCAGGUCACGUCCAGGCCAUGUUUGGGUCAGGUUCUGGUCAGGUUCAGGUCACGUCCAGGCCAUGUUUGGGUCAGGUUCUGGUCAGGUUCAGGUCACGUCCAGGCCAUGUUUGGGUCAGGUUCUGGUCAGGUUCAGGUCAUAUCAGGCCAUAUUUGGGUCAGGUUCUGGUCAGGUUCAGGUCACGUCCAGGCCAUGUUUGGGUCAGGUUCUGGUCAGGUUCAGGUCACGUCCAGGCCAUGUUUGGGUCAGGUUCUGGUCAGGUUCAGGUCACGUCAGGCCAUGUUUGGGUCAGGUUCAGGUCACGUCCAGGCCAUGUUUGGGUCAGGUUCUGGUCAGGUUCAGGUCACGUCCA